AUCUUAGUUUACAAACUGAAGCGAGAAGACACGCAGGCUAGGAAACCAUGGCACAGAAGAUUAAGCGGUUUAACUCUGGUCAAGAAACUAGUAGCUGCUUAAGUAAUUAUUGUAUCCAGUCUCCUUCCUUCUUCACACUGCACACUUGAAUAACUGAGCUGCCGCAAGCAACCUGACCUUCAGAAGUAGAUGGGUCUGCCUCUAUCAAGAUUGCAUGCAUUCAGAGCCAAAGAAAAUACAAAACUGUCCAACACUUCAAGAAGGGAGAAGAAACAUUAGGAGAAAUAUCUAAUGUAGAUAAUAUGUUGAUCGGUGCAGCAAACCACCAUGGCACGUGUAUACCUAUGUAACAAACCUGCACAUUCUGCAUAUGUAUCCCAGAACUUAAAGUAUUAAAAAAACUAUAAUUUCUACCUUUUUGACUGUA
rnacentral:lncRNA from 10 species